AGCAGCCGCGGUAAUACAAAGGAUGCAAGCAUUAUCCGGAAUGAUUGGGCGUAAAGCGUCUGUAGGUGGCUUUUCAAGUCCGCCGUCAAAUCCCAGGGCUCAACCCUGGACAGGCGGUGGAAACUACCAAGCUAGAGUAUAGUAGGGGCAGAGGGAAUUUCCGGUGGAGCGGUGAAAUGCAUUGAGAUCGGAAAGAACACCAACGGCGAAAGCACUCUGCUGGGCCGACACUGACACUAAGAGACGAAAGCUAGGGGAGCAAAUGGGAUUAGAGACCCCAGUAGUCCCUGUAUCUUAUACA
rnacentral:rRNA from 1 species